ACGCUGCGCCGCCAGGCGCAGCGCUUAGGACGCUGUGGUGUAGACCUUCGCAGGUUCGAACCCUGUCCCGCGCA
rnacentral:tRNA from 1 species